CUACAUACUUGGCAGGGGAGAGAACUGAUCAUGAAGGUGGUUCUGUCAGAACGAGGCUAUCCCAUUGCACUUGGGUGUACUGGUGCCUGCAAUGUUCCCAUAUGUGGGAUACUCACCUACAAAACUGAUAGUAGUGAGAGACUGCAUUCGUGCACUGGGAUUCUUA